rnacentral:rRNA from 1 species
GACGAAGGGGGCUAGCGUUGUUCGGAAUUACUGGGCGUAAAGCGCGUGUAGGCGGUUGUUCAAGUUGGAUGUGAAAGCCUUGAGCUCAACUCAAGAAAUGCAUUCAGGACUGAAUGACUAGAGGACCGGAGAGGAUAGUGGAAUUCCCAGUGUAGUGGUGAAAUACGUAGAGAUUGGGAAGAACACCAGUGGCGAAGGCGGCUAUCUGGACGGUUUCUGACGCUAAGACGCGAAAGCGUGGGGAGCAAACAGG